CCCUCUAGGUGGCCUUCUUGAAGCGGCCGCCCGUGUGAUGGAUAUUUCCAGAAUUUGGCCCUUCUCCGGGUUGAUUCCCGCCGGCGGGGCACCGGUAUUGGAGUUCGCUUAAGCCAUGCUAGUCGAGAGGGGUAAGCCCUCGGCGCACUGCUCAGUAACACGCGGACAAUCUGCCCUCGAGACGGGGAUAAUCCCGGGAAACUGGGGAUAAUACCCGAUAGGUCUGGGAUGAUGGAAGGCUCUCAGGUCGAAAUCCUGCGGGGCUCGAGGAUGGGUCUGCGGCCUAUCAGGUCGUAGGGGGUGUCACGGACCCCCUAGCCGAAGACGGGUACGGGCUUUGGGAGAAGUCGCCCGGAGAUGGAUUCUGAGACACGAAUCCAGGUCCUACGGGACGCAGCAGGCGCGAAACCUCCACAAUGUGGGAAACCACGAUGGGGGAACUCCAAGUGCCUACACUAUGUGUAGGCUGUUCUCGAGCCUAAAAAGCUCGAGAAGUAAGGGCCGGGUAAGACGGGUGCCAGCCGCCGCGGUAAUACCCGCGGCCCGAGUGGUGCUCAUUAUUAUUGAGCCUAAAGCGUCCGUAGCUGGCCGGGCAAAUCUCCGGGUAAAUCGGGCGGCCCAACCGUCCGAAUUCCGGAGACACUGCUCGGCUUGAGAUCGGGAGAGGGAGAAGGUACUCCUGGGGUAGGGGUAAAAUCCUGUAAUCCGAGGGGGACCACCGGUGGCGAAGGCGUUCUCCUAGAACGAAUCUGACAGUGAGGGACGAAGCCCUAGGGCGCAAACGGGAUUAGAUACCCCGGUAGUCUAGGGUGUAAACGCUGCAGACUUGGUGUUGGGGGUCCUGCGUGGGCUUCCAGUGCCGGAGUGAAGAUGUUAAGUCUGCCACUUGGGGAGUACGGUCGCAAGACUGAAACUUACAGGAAUUGGCGGGGGAAGCA
rnacentral:rRNA from 1 species